GUCGUCCCGAACGAACGAGACACUCGCACCACUCAUCCACUUCUCUCUCUAGCCGCUCUCCAUUCCCCAUGCCACCGUCUCCCGUCCGCUCCACGCCCCCACCUCCCCACCGCCGUCCCCAGCUCACCGGCGCUGCCCUAUCCUAUCCUCGCCGCCACGCGCAUUUGCUGCCGCGCGACGACAUCGGCGCCCUCGUAGCUGGGACUCCGCCUAGUCAACUUUGAUUGGGAGGUGGUGACGCAUCCGUACCGGCGGGGAGGUGGUGGAUGGGGCGCGGCCAUUUGCGAGCACCAGGAGCGGUGGUGGUGGCCAGGGCUGCGCCGUGUCCGGGGCAAAGUGCACCGCACUGAGGAGGCGUCGGCAUCGACGGCAGGGCGCGGAGGCGCACCUCGAUUCAGGAGACGCGCGCGCGGGAGGCGACGUUGUCGCUUGUCCAUCAAGAGCAGAUGCGGGCGGAGGCGGCGAGCGCGCUGUCGGCCACGUCGGGGACGGGAUGCCCCUCCCACUCCCACUCGCUGCGCGUCGAGCUUGACAUGGCCGCGAGCUUGCUUUCUAGGCGGGGGCUGCGGGGUGGUGCACGCCAUGGAGACCGCUGGGCUCGCCACUGAUUUUGAGCAGCGUCAUGGGAGCCAGCAAGAGACGAUUCAUCAAUUGUGUUGCUGACGAAGGAGUUGGACUAGAAGACUUUGAAGACCCAGAAGACUUUGCUGAGCCAG
rnacentral:rRNA from 1 species